ACAGCAGCUACCUUUGAUUGGGUUACUUCAGUCAUGUGUCCAUGUUCACAACUGUCCUUAUAGCCUUUUCCUAUGUCACUAUAAGGCCAUGUUGGAACGACUCAAUUGCUUCCCUAAUAUGGAUGCUGGGUGGAACAGUAGUGUACCGAUGUGUGUAUACAUUGUACAAUACAGCUCAGGUACAGUAGUGUACCGAUGUGUGUAUACAUUGUACAAUACAGCUCAGGUACAGUAGUGUACCGAUGUGUGUAUACAUUGUACAAUACAGCUCAGGUACAGUAGUGUACCGAUGUGUGUAUACAUUGUACAAUACAGCUCAGGUACAGUAGUGGAGGACGUGUGUAUACAUUGUACAAUACAGCUCAGGUACAGUAGUGGAGGAUGUGUGUAUACAUUGUACAAUACAGCUCAGGUACAGUAGUGGAGGAUGUGUGUAUACAUUGUACAAUACAGCUCAGGUACAGUAGUGGAGGACGUGUGUAUACAUUGUACAAUACAGCUCAGGUACAGUAGUAGAGGAUGUGUGUAUACAUUGUACAAUACAGCUCAGGUACAGUAGUGGAGGAUGUGUGUAUACAUUGUACAAUACAGCUCAGGUACAGUAGUGGAGGAUGUGUGUAUACAUUGUACAAUACAGCUCAGGUACAGUAGUGGAGGAUUUGUGUAUACAUUGUACAAUACAGCUCAGGUACAGUAGUGGAGGAUGUGUGUGUACAUUGUACAAUACAGCUCAGGUACAGUAGUGGAGGACGUGUGUAUACAUUGUACAAUACAGCUCAGGUACAGUAGUGGAGGAUGUGUGUAUACAUUGUACAAUACAGCUCAGGUACAGUAGUGGAGGAUGUGUGUAUACAUUGUACAAUACAGCUCAGGUACAGUAGUGGAGGAUGUGUGUAUACAUUGUACAAUACAGCUCAGGUACAGUAGUGGAGGAUGUGUGUAUACAUUGUACAAUACAGCUCAGGUACAGUAGUGGAGGAUGUGUGUAUACAUUGUACAAUACAGCUCAGGUACAGUAGUGGAGGAUGUGUGUAUACAUUGUACAAUACAGCUCAGGUACAGUAGUGGAGGAUGUGUGUAUACAUUGUACAAUACAGCUCAGGUACAGUAGUGGAGGAUGUGUGUAUACAUUGUACAAUACAGCUCAGGUACAGUAGUGGAGGAUUUGUGUAUACAUUGUACAAUACAGCUCAGGUACAGUAGUGGAGGAUGUGUGUAUACAUUGUACAAUACAGCUCAGGUACAGUAGUGGAGGAUUUGUGUAUACAUUGUACAAUACAGCUCAGGUACAGUAGUGGAGGAUGUGUGUGUACAUUGUACAAUACAGCUCAGGUACAGUAGUGGAGGACGUGUGUAUACAUUGUACAAUACAGCUCAGGUACAGUAGUGGAGGAUGUGUGUAUACAUUGUACAAUACAGCUCAGGUACAGUAGUGGAGGAUGUGUGUAUACAUUGUACAAUACAGCUCAGGUACAGUAGUGGAGGAUGUGUGUAUACAUUGUACAAUACAGCUCAGGUACAGUAGUGGAGGAUUUGUGUAUACAUUGUACAAUACAGCUCAGGUACAGUAGUGGAGGACGUGUGUAUACAUUGUACAAUACAGCUCAGGUACAGUAGUGGAGGAUGUGUGUAUACAUUGUACAAUACAGCUCAGGUACAGUAGUGGAGAAUUUGUGUAUACAUUGUACAAUACAGCUCAGGUACAGUAGUGGAGGAUUUGUGUAUACAUUGUACAAUACAGCUCAGGUACAGUAGUGGAGGAUGUGUGUGUACAUUGUACAAUACAGCUCAGGUACAGUAGUGGAGGAUGUGUGUAUACAUUGUACAAUACAGCUCAGGUACAGUAGUGGAUAAUUUGUGUAUACAUUGUACAAUACAGCUCAGGUACAGUAGUGGAGGAUUUGUGUAUACAUUGUACAAUACAGCUCAGGUACAGUAGUGGAGGAUGUGUGUGUACAUUGUACAAUACAGCUCAGGUACAGUAGUGGAGGAUGUGUGUGUACAUUGUACAAUACAGCUCAGGUACAGUAGUGGAGGAUUUGUGUAUACAUUUUACAAUACAGCUCAGGUACAGUAGUGGAGGAUGUGUGUGUACAUUGUACAGCUCAGGUAUAGUAGAACACACCCGGCCCAGCUCAUCUAGGCCUGACAGGAAUGUCCAGUAUUACAGUGGUCAAAGGUGGUUGUGGUUAAUCAUUACCUUACUGGGAAGUGUGUUGGAGGUCAACGCUGAUCUAGGGACUCAUCACCAUAGCAACAAUGGCCAUAUAGCCAUGACAUGUCUAACAUGUGACCCAUAGAAAUGGAUGUUAUAGAGUAGAUAUCAAGACUAAAGGCU